CCCUUAGAUGUCCUGGGCCGCACGCGUGCUACCCUGACGCAUACAGCGAGCACUUUCCAGUUCCGAGAGGCUACUGGUAAUCAUCAAUAUGCGUCGUGAUGGGGAUAGAUCUUUGGAAUUCUGGAUCUUGAACGAGGAAUGCCUAGUAAUCGCAGGUCAUUAGCCUGCGAUGAUUAAGUCCCUGCCCUUUGUACACACCGCCCGUCGCUACUACCGAUUUCGAGUGGUCAGGUGAAUCUUUCGGACUGUGGGCGCCCUUGAGGUGUUCGCGGAAAGUCAGGUAAAUCUUAUCACUUAGAGGAAGUAAAAGUCGUAACA
rnacentral:rRNA from 1 species